GUUCUCUCCCGCGCUCUUUUCUUUUUAGGAAACCCAGGCAAAGGCGGGGCCACCGUUUAGAGCAGUAGGAAGGCAGCGCAUAGACACCCUCAACGCCAGCCUGUCAGCCAAUGAGAAGCGCGCCUCGUGGAUUUAGUGGGUGCCAAAACAAAUGGGCUUUCUCCCCUCCCUCCGGUUCCCCCGUAGCGUCAUGGGUGUCUCUCACGACUCCGCACACGGCGCCUUUUUAUUACUAUUACCGUCACCGGGAUUUUUUCCCCCCUUUCAAGGCUGCCCGCGGCCCGCCCGCCUGCCAUUCCGUCGCCCGCUUGCGAAAGCUUCUUUGACUCUCUCACAACCGCCUCUCUCUCCGCAGCCGCAGUCUGCUACCUCGAGGUACCCAGGCAAGCUGCAAGUCGGCCUGCGAUCUUCCUUGCCUACCGGUCAGCCCAGCGCUGCCAAGUCUCCUACUUCCUUAAGUGGGCCGCUCUUACCUGAGCGUCGCCAGACCUGCCUGGGCCUCUCUGGAAGAACAGCGUGGCGAAGAAGCGGCUGAGAGCACUGCAGUAGGGCCCUAAAAAAAGGGGCUGAGGCGGCGGAGAAAGAGGCGCUCCCGGGCCGGCCUGGAUCUCCUCACUCUCUCCUUGCCUCUUCCCGGCCCUCUCGCUUGGUUUGCCCCCAAAAGAGGCGGGGGGGGGUGGGAGGAAGCGCGACUCCUUCAGAAAGUGAGGCGGGGGAGGAGAGAAAGGAAUGGGUUAAAAAAAAA